CGGCAGCAUGAUCUAGCUUGCUAGAUUGAUGGCGAGUGGCGAACGGGUGAGUAAUACAUCGGAACGUGCCCUGUAGUGGGGGAUAACUAGUCGAAAGAUUAGCUAAUACCGCAUACGACCUGAGGGUGAAAGUGGGGGACCGCAAGACCUCAUGCUAUAGGAGCGGCCGAUGUCUGAUUAGCUAGUUGGUGAGGUAAAGGCUCACCAAGGCGACGAUCAGUAGCUGGUCUGAGAGGACGAUCAGCCACACUGGGACUGAGACACGGCCCAGACUCCUACGGGAGGCAGCAGUGGGGAAUUUUGGACAAUGGGCGAAAGCCUGAUCCAGCAAUGCCGCGUGUGUGAAGAAGGCCUUCGGGUUGUAAAGCACUUUUGUCCGGAAAGAAAUGGCUCUGGUUAAUACCUGGGGUCGAUGACGGUACCGGAAGAAUAAGGACCGGCUAACUACGUGCCAGCAGCCGCGGUAAUACGUAGGGUCCAAGCGUUAAUCGGAAUUACUGGGCGUAAAGCGUGCGCAGGCGGUUGUGCAAGACCGAUGUGAAAUCCCCGAGCUUAACUUGGGAAUUGCAUUGGUGACUGCACGGCUAGAGUGUGUCAGAGGGGGGUAGAAUUCCACGUGUAGCAGUGAAAUGCGUAGAGAUGUCGAGGAAUACCGAUGGCGAAGGCAGCCCCCUGGGAUAACACUGACGCUCAUGCACGA
rnacentral:rRNA from 1 species